rnacentral:lncRNA from 1 species
GGGCAUUCUAGAUAGGAAAGAAAGUAGAUGGAGACAGACCUUGCAGAUCUGUCCUGCUACAGCAUUUCUUGUAGAUCUGUUGAUGGAGAUCUUACCCGUGCCUCAAACGACCUCAGAUCAACUCCAAAUCUGAGAGAAACUUGUAUCAACCUCUUCUCAAGAGAUUCCAGGUCUUGGACCUGAUGCUUGGGUGGCUGCAAGAGAGGAGGGGAGCAAUCUGGUUGGCGGCUGCAAGGGGGAAGGGGCUAGCGCCUCCUUGCUUUUCUUUCCUUUUAUGGACCUGGCGGCAAGAAACCCUAGGGUUUCUUGCUCCUGGGGCAUGGAGAAUUGCUGGAGAGAGAGGGAGAAGAGAGAGAGAGACUAGGGAGAAAGAGUUUUGUAUUUCUUUGGCUUGAUCAAACCUAUAUAAGUACAUGUAUAUAUAAACACAGGGUCAAGUGACCCAAACCCAAAACUCCCUUGACCAACUCUAUGGGAGAUUAGGUUAACCCAAGCCCAUGUACACCCAUGACUUGACCUAAUCUCACCUAUCCUGUGCCCAGACCUGGUCCAUAAAGAGUUGGUCCCUUGAGGCCCACAUAACCUAGACCUCAAGAACCCGAAAGGCCCACAGCCUUUCAACCUAGGGCCCAACUAGCCCUAGAGCCUCCAUGAAGCCCUCAUGAAUGAUGGACCUUGUGUUGGAAAAUGUAUCCCAAAAAGUAAAUCGUCAAGCUGUUGACGGUUGAGCAACCAAGUAUUGUAAUUGAUUUGUUAAUAAAUAAAAUAUAUUUGGCAUUUUCAUCAUAAAUUUUCAUCUUCUAAUGAACUCCGUUGUUAUGAUG